rnacentral:rRNA from 1 species
CCUACGGGUGGCAGCAGUGAGGAAUAUUGGUCAAUGGGCGUAAGCCUGAACCAGCCAAGUCGCGUGAGGGAUGAAGGUUCUAUGGAUCGUAAACCUCUUUUAUAAAGGCAUAAAGUGUGGGACGUGUCCUGUUUUGUAUGUACUUUCUGAAUAAGGAUCGGCUAACUCCGUGCCAGCAGCCUCAGGAAUACGGAGGAUCCGCGAGUUAUCCGGAUUUAUUGGGGUUAACGGGUGCGUAGGCGGCCUUUUAAGUCAGCGGUGAAAGUCUGUGGCUCAACCAUAGAAGUGCCGUUGAAACUGGGAGGCUUGAGUAUGUUUGAGGCAGGCGGAAUGCGUGGUGUAGCGGUGAAAUGCUGAGAUAUCACGCAGAACCCCGAUUGAGAAGGCAGCCUGCCAGGCCAUGACUGACGCUGAUGCACGAAAGCGUGGGGAUCAAACAGGAUUAGAUACCCCUGUAGUC